UAUGUUCUAGUAUAAGAUGUACAUAAAUUUUUGAUAUUUAAGGAAAUAGUUUGAUUCUGUUGAACAUAA
rnacentral:tRNA from 1 species